AACGUAGGUGGCAAGCGUUGUCCGGAAUCAUUGGGCGUAAAGCGCGUGUAGGCGGCUGAGUAAGUCUGCUCUGAAAGCCCGGGGCUCAACCCCGGGAGGCGGGUGGAUACUGCUCAGCUCGAGUCCGGAAGAGGAGUGUGGAAUUCCUGGUGUAGCGGUGAAAUGCGCAGAUAUCAGGAGGAACACCAAUGGCGAAGGCAGCACUCUGGGACGGUACUGACGCUGAGACGCGAAAGCGUGGGGAGCAAACAGG
rnacentral:rRNA from 1 species